AGUUGGAUCCUGGCUCAGAUUGAACGCUGGCGGCAUGCCUAACACAUGCAAGUCGAACGGUAACAGGUCUUCGGAUGCUGACGAGUGGCGGACGGGUGAGUAACGCGUAGGAAUCUGUCUUUGAGUGGGGGACAACCCAGGGAAACUUGGGCUAAUACCGCAUAAGCCCUGAGGGGGAAAGCGGGGGAUCUUCGGACCUCGCGCUGGAAGAGGAGCCUACGUCUGAUUAGCUAGUUGGUAGGGUAAAGGCCUACCAAGGCGACGAUCGGUAGCUGGUCUGAGAGGACGACCAGCCACACUGGGACUGAGACACGGCCCAGACUCCUACGGGAGGCAGCAGUGGGGAAUUUUUCGCAAUGGGGGCAACCCUGACGAAGCAAUGCCGCGUGAAUGAAGAAGGCCUUCGGGUUGUAAAGUUCUUUCGUGGAGGACGAAAAGGUGGGUGCUAAUAUCGCCUGCUGUUGACGUGAAUCCAAGAAGAAGCACCGGCUAACUCCGUGCCAGCAGCCGCGGUAAUACGGGGGGUGCAAGCGUUAAUCGGAAUCACUGGGCGUAAAGGGUGCGUAGGCGGUGCAUUAGGUCUGUCGUGAAAUCCCCGGGCUCAACCUGGGAAUGGCGGUGGAAACCGGUGUACUAGAGUAUGGGAGAGGGUGGUGGAAUUCCAGGUGUAGCGGUGAAAUGCGUAGAGAUCUGGAGGUAUCAUCAUUGGCGAUGGCUGCCACCUGGCCCAUUACUGACUCUGAAGGCACGAAAGGCGUGG
rnacentral:rRNA from 1 species